rnacentral:lncRNA from 1 species
UUUUUAUUUUUUUGUUUUGGAAGAUAUCAAGCAAAGUUUGGCAACACUGAAAAAUGCAGUCCAUUUUAUACAUGACUGUGUCUUGGUUCAUAAGACUCAAUGACCGGUUCAGAUUUCCUGGGCCAUCUUUCUAAAUUAUGCUAAAAUUAUGCUAAGCUACUUUAAAAUGAGAUGAAGGAUAGUGUGUGAUAAUGCUUAAAAAAAAAAAAAUCCUUCAAGUGAUGGUUCUCAAUCAGGGGUGAUGUUGCCCUUGGGGAACAUAAAAGACAAGAUAAAUGUGGUUUUUGUUUGUGAAUCUCUUUCACUCCUAUGUGAUUUAAAAGACAACUGCGUAAAGCAAUAAUUAUAAAUCUCUGUGGACGGGCACAUAAAGUAUAAAGAUGUAAUCUUUAUGACAAGAUGAGCACAAAGGAGGAUGGGAAAGGAGAGCCACAGCAGCAAAGGGUUUGUAUGCUCUUGAAAUUAAGCUGGUACUAAGGCAAACCAGAUGGGGAUAAGUUUGUUCACUGCAGACUGCAGAGCAACCACGAUGUUAAGUUUUACAUAACUUUUAAAAAAAAGAGAGAAUCGAAAUGUACCCUAGAAAAUGUCUCGUGAACAUCAAAGAUGACCGUGUUGGAGGAAGAGGAACAAAAGAAGAACACAGAUUUGUUUCUUUUUAUUUAUUUGAUUUCACAGACAAGUGAAAACAUACCGUAUUUGUCUUUCUCUGCCUGACGUGUUUCACAAUGAUAAACCACCCAGCACAUCCAUGUGGUUGCAAACGGCAAAUUUCUCGAACUAUGUAAAACAGAAACAGACUCCCAGAUACAGAGAAAAAACCAGUAGCACCGGAGGGAAGAAGGGUGGAGGAAGGACAAGAUACACCAAGGGGAUGAAGAGGUACAAAGUGGUAGCUAUAAGAUACCUAAGUUAUAAGGAUGUCACGUACCGCCCAGGGACUCCAGCUCAUGGCUGUUAGAACCCUGACAUACAGUUUGAGCGACACAAUUAUCGAAUCACUAUGGCGUACACGGGAACCUCACAGAAUGUCGAAAGAGAGCUAAUGACUUCAAUAAAAAAAAUAAAUGCAGACAGAGGAGAGUCUUCCUUAGAGGAGAAUGGCAGUUAAUAAACACACAUCAAAGAGUCAGACAAGGAAAAGAAAAUGGAGACAACAAAUAGCAAAAUGCCACAUAUGAAUCCUCUCUAAUAAGAGUAAUAUAUGCAAAUGGUCAAACACCCCAGGUAAAAGGUAAACACGGGCAGAAUGGAUGAAAAAAAGAAAAACCACAUGAUCCAACCAUGUGCUAUCACUAGACACACCAAAGACUGAAAGGCACAGAGAGGGUGAAAGGAAGAGAAUGGAAAAGACGUCCAAUGGACACAGUAACCAAAAGAGAGUCAGACUGGCCACAUCAGACAAAGGAGAUGCAAGAGAAACAUUUCUAUGAGAAAGAAACAUUUCUACCAGAAAGAAACACCUUCAAUAGAAACAUUUUAUCAUGAUAAAGGGGUCCCUCCAUCAAGAGGAUGCCAUUAUAAACACAUAUGAACCUAACAACAAAGCCCCAAACACAUAAAACAAAAACUGACCAAGCUGAAGGGAGAAAUGGUUGUGGGAGACUUUGAUGCCACACUUUCAGUAAUGGACAGAACAGCUAGACUGAAUAUUAGCCAGGAAUAUGCCACACCGGCUUUAAAACCCUUAACUACCUAAAGACCAUAAACCAGUGAGAGGGGAUGAUAUGAUGACACAGUCCAUCCAACCAUGAGGAAAUAGGCAUUCGUCUCAAGCUCAAAAGGAGCAUUCUCCAAGACAAUAUGUUAGGCUACAAAACAAGUCUCAGUAAAUUCACAGAUGAUCAAACUCAUAGCAAAUAUUUCCCUGACCAACAAUGGGAUGAAAUGAGAACUCAGUCACGAAGGAAAUGUGGGGAAGUCACCCACAUGCCAAAGCUAAACAACACAUGCUUAAGCACUCAAUGGUCCAAAGAGAAAUUAUAAGGGACGUGGAAGAUAUAUGGGGAUAAUGAAAACACAAGCAUACCAAAAGGCACGGGAUGCAACAGAAGCAGUGUCUAAUGUCCAUGGACAGAUGAGUGAAGAAAGAUGGGGUACAUGCAUAACAAUCGAAUACGACUCAGCCACGAAAAAGAAUGAAGUAAUGCCAUUGGUAGCCAUACAGACAGACCUAGAGAUAACAUUCCAAGUGAGGUGACUCAGACAGAGAAAGACAAAUGCCAUAUUUCUGACACAUGGAAUCUAAAAUAGGACACAAAUGAACUUAUCCAGGAAACAGAAACAGACCCACAGACUUGGAAAACAGACUUGUGGUUGCUAAGGGGGAGGGGGUGAGAGGCGAUGGAGUGGGAGUUUGGGAUUAGCACAUGCAAACUAUUACAUACAGAAUGGCUACAUAACCAGGUCCUACUGUACAGCACAAGAACAAUACUCAAUAUCCUGAGAUAAACCCUAGUGGAAAAGAAUAUUUUUAAAAAGAAUGUAUGUACAAACAUUCCUAUGUACACAUAUAUUUAUACAUUCAUGUGUGUGUGUGUAUGCGUAACUGAAUCACUUUGCUGUACAGCAGAAAGUCCCAAAGGCUUCCUUCCCCAGCUGGGUCGAGAGCGGCCAUUCCUUUUCAAGACCUGCCUUCCACAGCCGUUCCCAUGACUCCUUCCUGCUACCUCCUCCUUCCUGUUACUUGAUCCCACCUGUUGGCAUUUGGGAUCUCUUACUGAAGGCACCCCAAGUCAGGGUCGGAAGUAGCAUGGAGACAAGGCCAAAAAUGGUUCAAACUGAGAACAAUGCAAAUCAUUCUAAAAUGCAGGAAAUGCACUGAAAUGAAAACAGAGAGCGAGCACACAGUGCCCCUCCUUUAAAGAGACACAAGCCGUUGUGUCACAGGCGUACUUCCUCAGCUUUUAUGCAGAGUUUUGUACUUUAUGGUGUGGAUGUCGGGGGGGGCAGGGGGGGAGAAGUUCAGACAAGUCAACUCUAAAUAGAUGAGAGGGGUUAAGACUGGAGAAACUCGAGCUGUCAUCCUGUUGGCUCAGCUCCUCACUGCACAGCCCUGGGCAUCUACUCCCUCCCUGGCCUCUGUGGGUCUGUGACAUCUGUAAAAUGCUGGUCCAGAUCAUUUGGUCUCUUCACAGUAACAAAAACCCUAAACUUCUGGGUGGAUUCGUUUGCUCUGACUGCCAUAACAAAGCACUGCAGACCGGGGGCUUAAGCAACAGCAAAGUAACUUUGUGAUGGUCCAGGGGGAUGGAGCCUCAAGUCAAGGGGUCAGCAGGGUAGGUCCCUCCUGAGGUCUCUCGCCAGGGCAUAGAGACGGCCGUCUUGUCCCCCGUGUCCUCAAAGGGUGUGUCUGUGUCCUGACGUCCUAAGGACCCCAGUCACAGUGGAUCUGGACCCACCCUAAUGGCCUUAUUUCACCUGAAUUACCUUUUUAGAGACCCUGACUCCAAAGGCAGCUCUACAGAGAUCCUGGGGGCUGGGGCUUCGACAUGGGGACUUGGGUGGGACAUACUUCAGCCCACAACACUGAGUGACAGAUUUGCAUCUACUUGGUAGGUCUUUCUAUCAAAGGCAAGGACAGCCAAUUAGAAUGGUCCUUCUGGGUUUUUUAUAGGCAGGCACUAAGAACAUAACCCGGAAACAAGGGUCAAGUUUUUUUUAAAGAACAGAGGUUUGCAUAACAUAAACUGGUUCACCUAUCUCAGAUUCUAUUUAACUUGACCCAGGAUUGCCGCCAAGAUAAAGAAAGAGUAAGGCGUGCCUUUGGGACUCAAAAGCAGUGACAUGGGUGCUUUCUCGACCCAAACAGGCAGAGUUUGGGCACCACGGGUGGAGCUCAACUAACCCAGCUCUCCUACGGCAGGGGGUCUGGGAGAGGAGGCAGCAAAAGUGCCCCGCCCUAUUUUCAAAGAGCUCUCUCAGCAAAAGAUCUCCGAGGCCCAGGGAGUGCCGCUGGUUCCUGUUCAUUUCUGACUCGUGGAUAUAUGAUCUUAUACAGUGUCACACUAAGUCGGACAAAGUACACGGAAGAAACCCAUUGAUCAAACCCAUGGCAUCUUCGUGGCCCUGCCUAGGACGUGCACGGACGUGGGGCGUAUACUGGAAGAAGGCAGAAUUCUCAACAGGUUCAAAGAUGACUGGAUGCAGGUGGGAAGACAUUUAGCUAUGCAAGAAAUGCAAACUCCAAUCAGCUGGGUGGGAAAAGCUUUUUUUUUUCCCCCUAACGCAUAGGCACCUCUCAACUUCCAAAACAUUCACAAGAGACGUUUCAGGCAAGGCAGGUCAACUGAGUACGUUCUAGUGUGUUAUUUAUUAUUUUAUCACUUGUACUGUUUUAAUUGAAUUUGGCCUACUGGGACGACAAGGCUGUAAAUAAACUCUUAAAUACACGCCGAGAUGACUAAUUUUCACACGCAACUGAAGACAUUAUCACAACUCUACUGGAAGCGUCAAGGGAACUUUAUGUUUCUCGGCUGCACCCACAGCAGGCGGAAGUCCCUGGGCCAGGGGUCGGACCC